rnacentral:rRNA from 1 species
CGCCUCUUGAAACUAAUAAGAGGUCUAGCCUGCCCAGUGACAAAUUCAACGGCCGCGGUACCCUAACCGUGCAAAGGUAGCAUAAUCACUUGUUCUCUAAAUAAGGACUUGUAUCAACGGCAUCACGAGGGUUACACUGUCUCCUCCCCCCAAUCAGUGAAACUGAUCUCCCCAUGAAAAAGUGGGGAUAAGCCCAUAAGACGAGAAGACCCCAUGGAGCUUUAAACCCAAUAGCAACUUAGCAAAAUGCCUUCCCUCUAGCUACAAAGCUCUGCUAAAGGUUUUAGGUUGGGAGGACCACGGAGUAAAAAUUAACCUCCACAACGAAAAGAUUAAAAUCUUUACCCUAGACUCACUACUCUGAGGAUUAGUAAACUAACGUAAAAUGACCCGAUAACGAUCAACGAACCAAGUUACCCUGGGGAUAACAGCGCAAUCUACUUCAAGAGUUCAUAUCGACAAGUAGGCUUACGACCUCGAUGUUGGAUCAGGGUAUCCUAGUGGUGCAGCCGCUACUGAAGGUUCGUUUGUUCAACGAUUAAAACCCU